UNUGACUUGAGUGCAGAAGGGGAGAGUGGAAUUCCAUGUGUAGCGGUGAAAUGCGUAGAUAUAUGGAGGAACACCAGUGGCGAAAGCGGCUCUCUGGUCUGUCACUGACGCUGAGGCUCGAAAGCGUGGGUAGCGAACAGGAUUAGAUACCCUGGUAGUNCACGCCGUAAACGAUGAGUGCUAGGUGUUAGGCCCUUUCCGGGGCUUAGUGCCGGAGCUAACGCAAUAAGCACUCCGCCUGGGGAGUACGACCGCAAGGUUGAAACUCAAAGGAAUUGACGGGGGCCCGCACAAGCGGUGGAGCAUGUGGUUUAAUUCGAAGCAACGCGAAGAACCUUACCAGGUCUUGACAUCCCGAUGCUAUUCUUAGAGAUAGGAAGUUACUUCGGUACAUCGGAGACAGGUGGUGCAUGGUUGUCGUCAGCUCGUGUCGUGAGAUGUUGGGUUAAGUCCCGCAACGAGCGCAACCCUUAUUGUUAGUUGCCAUCAUUAAGUUGGGCACUCUAGCGAGACUGCCGGUAAUAAACCGGAGGAAGGUGGGGAUGACGUCAAAUCAUCAUGCCCCUUAUGACCUGGGCUACACACGUGCUACAAUGGUCGGUACAACGAGUUGCGAGCCGGUGACGGCAAGCUAAUCUCUGAAAGCCGAUCUCCGUUCGGAUUGGAGGCUGCAACUCGCCUCCAUGAAGUCGGAAUCGCUAGUAAUCGCGGAUCAGCACGCCGCGGUGAAUACGUUCCCGGGCCUUGUACACACCGCCCGUCACACCACGAGAGUUUGUAACACCCGAAGUCGGUGAGGUAACCUUUUAGGGGCCAGCCGCCUAAGGUGGGA
rnacentral:rRNA from 1 species